UUGCAGGCAUUUCAUGACCCAGCUGGGUACCAUCAUCAGUGCUAGAAGCGAGGCGAGUCGUCCCGUGGCAAGUCACUCAGGGCGAGUCACCCGGGACGAGCUGACGGUGACAAGCCAGGGGUGGCAAUCCAGAGGCAACAAGCAGUGGCAGUGGCAACCCAGCGGCGGAGACCUGGGGGCGGCAAACAGGUGGCAGCAAUCAGGUUGCGGCGACCCAGCAGCGGCGAGUUGUCCCAUUCCACCCUCUUAAGGUGCUUUGACCGAUCCUUAACAAUUCAACGCCCAUCAUUGAGGACCUGUAUACUGCACGAAUCAAGAAGAGGGCCGUGAAAAUAUUUACAGAUCCCUCACAUCCUGGACAUAAACUGUUUCAACUCCUACCCUCAAAACGAUGCUAUAGAGCACUGCACACCAGAACAACUAGACACAAGAACAGUUUUUUCCCGAAAGCCAUCACUCUGCUAAACAAAUAAUUCCAUCAACACUGUCAAACUAUUUACUGAAUCUGCACUACUAUUAAUCGUCUCAUAGUUCCCAUCACCAAUCUCUUUCCACUUAUGACUGUAUGACUGUAACUUGUUGCUGGCAAUCCUUAUGAUUUAUAUUGAUAUAUUGACCAUCAAUUGUGUUGUAAAUGUUGUACCUUGAUGAAGGUAUCUUUUCUUUUAUGUACACUGAGAGCAUCUGCACCAAGACAAAUUCCUUGUGUG